UACGUAGGGCGCAAGCGUUGUCCGGAAUUAUUGGGCGUAAAGAGCUCGUAGGCGGUUUGUCGCGUCUGCUGUGAAAACCUAAGGCUCAACCUUGGGCUUGCAGUGGGUACGGGCAGACUAGAGUGGCGGUAGGGGUGACUGGAAUUCUGGUGUAGCGGUGGAAUGCGGCAGAUAUCAGGAGGAACACCGAGUGGCGAAGGCAGGU
rnacentral:rRNA from 1 species